GACGAACGCUGGCGGCGUGCUUAACACAUGCAAGUCGAACGGAAAGGCCCUGCUUUUGUGGGGUGCUCGAGUGGCGAACGGGUGAGUAACACGUGAGUAACCUGCCCUUGACUUUGGGAUAACUUCAGGAAACUGGGGCUAAUACCGGAUAGGAGCUCCUGCUGCAUGGUGGGGGUUGGAAAGUUUCGGCGGUUGGGGAUGGACUCGCGGCUUAUCAGCUUGUUGGUGGGGUAGUGGCUUACCAAGGCUUUGACGGGUAGCCGGCCUGAGAGGGUGACCGGCCACAUUGGGACUGAGAUACGGCCCAGACUCCUACGGGAGGCAGCAGGGGGGAAUAUUGCACAAUGGGCGGAAGCCUGAUGCAGCAACGCCGCGUGCUGGAUGACGGCCUUCGGGUUGUAAACCGCUUUCGCCUGUGACGAAGCGUGAGUGACGGUAAUGGGUAAAGAAGCACCGGCUAACUACGUG
rnacentral:rRNA from 1 species